ACAACUACGACAUUACUCAGCAAUUCUUGGAUGAAAUGGUCUUCAAUGGAGUGUUCCCAGAUUCAAAGUCUUAUAAUCUCUUGGUUCAAUUCUUGGUUAAGAGAAGGAAGCAAAGGGAAGCUU